rnacentral:lncRNA from 1 species
CGCGAACACGCAGCAGCGAGAAUCUACAGGGGCGUGGUUUGCGCACGCGGGAACUGGGAUCUCAACCCCAGGGCUAGGUGCCUCCUCCCGCUGCUUUCCGCCAGCUGCGGGGUGUGAGAUUAAUCCCCGCCGAUUAGCGCCAGGUGUACUAAGCGCUGGAUGGUUCCCUGACCAGAUGAAACAUCAGCCGAUGUUCUAAUGCCGGUCCCCUGGGCGCUGUCCCCGAGAGGGAAAACCUGUUUUCUGACCCCGGCUCUAGUCGGCCUCUGGAGGUCUGCAGCUGGGUUAUUUUACCUUUGAAACGGACGACACCUGCCCCGUGCACCCCAGCGGCUCCUCCACACGGAGAGAUGGUGUCAGUCAAAGGCCGUCUAGAUGACGAGUUUAUGAAAUUGUUCCUGGCCCGUGCCGGGCACGACCUUGCAGAGAGCCCAGAAGAUGAAACCCCAGCCCUGCCAGGAGCUCACCUGCUAAUUAGGAGGACAACGAAUCACCUCACCUCCCUAGACUUUGCUUCUCCUUUAUUCAGUGAGGGAUUGGACUAGCUGGUCCUUGAGGACUUUUCAGAAAGUCUGGUUCUGGGAGAUGACCAAUGGGAUCAUCUUAUGCUAUGAGCUUUCCUGGAAUGACAGGUAAUGGAGAGUGAGGAGAUUUUACCUGAUAUGGUCCUGUUUGCACCAUCAGCCAGCAACCUUUCUGGGAAGCGUGCUUAUUAUGUACCAACAUAAAAGCUUGAAUAUAAGAAAUGAAGAAGGUGAGCUGGGGGAUGCAGCUGGGACUCAGAAGACUGCACGUGAUAGACUCAUGAGCUGAAGAUCUCGUGCUUAGUCUGGAGAAGCUCAUCAAGUCUAGCUCACUUUGGAGUAAGUUGGUGCUGGAGAAUGAAUUCAUGCUAACCAAAUUCACCAAGAGCCUGAUUUACAAAUGAGAGAGCCAAGGCCUUAAGUUUAGAGCAAAAGACAAACUUCCAAUGACUUUAGUUUUCUUGUCCAAUAUCUAGGGCACCUUCCCCUCUCCACCUGCUGUGUACACAGGAGAAAUAAUCACUCCACACCCGACUGAACAUUUUCUAACCUUAUCACUGUGGCAGAAACUGGCUACUCUUCCUCCUGGGUAGACAGCCAGGCUGUAUUUCCCCGCUGCCCCUGCAGUGAGAGGUAGCCAUUGGAGCCGGCGCAGGCCAAUGGACUCUGCACUGGAGUGACACAUGCUGCUUCCAGGCCUGUCCCUCAAACCUCCCACAUGUCCUCUGUCUGCUCUUCUCACUUCCAAGGAGUGUGACCAUCGUGGAAGCCCCAGGUUAGCAAUGGCAGAUUGGGAGGCAUCGAUGGGAGGAACCUGGGUCCCUGACUUAAAGCAUCAUGGAUUUGGACUUUCCGUUAUUGAGAAAUAAACUUCCAUUGUGUUUAAGCCUUUA